UUAAUUAUUUUUCAUUGUUAUUUAUGUUAUUUUAGUGUGUGUUUGUUUGUGUGUUGGUGUGUUUGAUCAACAAUUAAACCUUUAAGGUCUGUCACACAGCUGUUGUGAUGCUACAAUCUAAAUCACAUUCU